rnacentral:rRNA from 1 species
GACGAACGCUGGCGGCGUGCUUAGCACAUGCAAGUCGAACGAUGAACCCGGAGCUUGCUCCGGUGGAUUAGUGGCGAACGGGUGAGUAACACGUGAGUAACCUGCCCUUGACUCUGGGAUAACUGCGGGAAACUGUAGCUAAUACCGGAUACGACCCUCGGCGGCAUCGCCAGGGGGUGGAAAGAAUUUCGGUCAAGGAUGGACUCGCGGCCUAUCAGCUAGUUGGUGAGGUAACGGCUCACCAAGGCGACGACGGGUAGCCGGCCUGAGAGGGUGACCGGCCACACUGGGACUGAGACACGGCCCAGACUCCUACGGGAGGCAGCAGUGGGGAAUAUUGCACAAUGGGCGAAAGCCUGAUGCAGCAACGCCGCGUGAGGGAUGAAGGCCUUCGGGUUGUAAACCUCUUUUAGCAGGGAAGAAGCGAAAGUGACGGUACCUGCAGAAAAAGCACCGGCUAACUACGUGCCAGCAGCCGCGGUAA